AGAACUUAGCAGAGAUGCUUUGGUGCCCUUCGGGAACUCUGAGACAGGUGCUGCAUGGCUGUCGUCAGCUCGUGUUGUGAAAUGUUGGGUUAAGUCCCGCAACGAGCGCAACCCUUAUCCUUUGUUGCCAGCGGCUCGGCCGGGAACUCAAAGGAGACUGCCGGUGAUAAGCCGGAGGAAGGUGGGGAUGACGUCAAGUCAUCAUGGCCCUUACGGCCAGGGCUACACACGUGCUACAAUGGCGCAUACAAAGAGAAGCGACCUCGCGAGAGCAAGCGGACCUCAUAAAGUGCGUCGUAGUCCGGAUUGGAGUCUGCAACUCGACUCCAUGAAGUCGGAAUCGCUAGUAAUCGUAGAUCAGAAUGCUACGGUGAAUACGUUCCCGGGCCUUGUACACACCGCCCGUCACACCAUGGGAGUGGGUUGCAAAAGAAGUAGGUAGCUUAACCUUCGGGAGGGCGCUUACCACUUUGUGAUUCAUGACUGGGGUGAAGUCGUAACAAGGUAAGCGUAGCGAG
rnacentral:rRNA from 1 species